GUCAUGUUUUUGGUAGGGCAUAACUUAUGGGUUUUGCGUCACCGAUAUGACGAGUUGUGUCGCUGUGGCUGAAAUUAUAAUAAUAUGGUAUUCAUAUUAACGAAAUAGAAAGCAAAAAAACAAAGACUGAUAACCACCAUAAAAAUUUGUUUGUAAGAGCCGUCUUUUGUUGUUGUCACUUUUAACAUUCACAUAAAUUAAACACCUAAAAGAAAAUAAGUCUCGCCGUUAUAAGCGAUUUCCAAAUGUCUAAUGAGUCAAUUAUAAUGGAGAAAACGUCCUAUUCACUUAGUAUGAUCAUUAAAGAACAAAAUAUUAUUUGUAAGGAAACAUUCUUCCUACGAACUCCUUUUUACAAUCGAGUUCAACAUUAUAUUUAUGUUUUGUAUCUAUUUACAACAGGGAAAAAAAUAAAAGAAAUCCCGUAGGACUCAUUUGCGCAAAAUAUUUCAAAUGUUUACUUCAAUAAGCUUCAAGCAUUAUUAUGAUAAAUAUUCAUAAUGACAGUCCAAAUAUCUAUUCACUUAAUAGGGCUGUCGUAAAAGUGGCAUAAUUUGGUAGGCGGAGUUGAGUAAUGAGGUAAUUUCCACGACGAAACGCCGACUUGUGAGAAAUGACACGACAGCUGAGAAAAUAUCCAAGAUUCUAUUGUCUCCCGCCCACCUUACCAAAACAAUAGCUGUAGGAAAGUAACCGCUUUCAUAACUUUGUGUUCAACUAUGGUACGCUAUUUGACGAAAUUAUUUAGGCGGUGAAAGGACAUUGUUAUUUUUGAAAAUUAUGACUAGUUACUUAGUUAGUAUUGAGGAAUAAAAUAUGAUGUCGAAUGGCAAAGAAUAUUUGGAUUAAUAGCAUUAGAAUCUUCAUGAAUAGUUGGAAUGUUAUUGCUUAUAAGGCUAUGUGAAGUUAUUAAUUGUCAUUGUACCCUUAGAAUACUGGAUGUAAGUAUAGAUAUUAUAUAAACUGUUAAGCGACAAUGAGCUUCAGAAGGCUACUCGUGUAUAACUUUCUAAAGAAACUAGCUGGGAUGGAAACCCAAGGCUUCGUCCGCGAAGUCAAAGAAAAAGAAGGAACGAGAUAUUUCACCUUCAGAAGUAUUAACACGGAAAUGCUUUUUCUUAAAACGACAUAUUUUAAUUAGGUUUAUUGUUUCGUUGUUCAAUUGUUUAGGUUUAUAUUCAUCUUUUUUAAUUUAAUCAAUACUUCAAUAUAUAUAACACAUGGUAAAUUCAAAGUUUAAACUACGUCAAGUUUAUUAAUGGGGUACUAGCUCAGGUUUAAGGAACUACGAAUUAUACGAAGUUAUGUCAUACGUUGCAAAUUCUUCAUUUGUAAAGCUUCGCAUGAAUCUAUCAUUGCACGUAAUAUUCGCAUGCAAUUAGUUUGAAUGUGGCUUAGUUGUGAAGUUAUAAAUAGAAUAUAUGAGAUUCUAUGAUACUUCACUUCUGGAACGUUCUAGAAAAUAAUACUCUACUAACACGUGAAUACAACUCGAUUCAAGGUCGCAUUGUCUUCAGUUUGAAUUACUUGGAAGAUCUCAGAAGUACUUUCAACCAGGAAGCUAUUAAUCCUAAAAUAGUUUCACUACAAUACUAUCGUCAGAGAAAUAAAACUUUUCCACUACA